GCUCGUUCAGGAACAUCUGCUCGUCAUAGCCCGUCCGUGGACGCAAGCGUAGGUCGAACACUUCAGGCUGGUGACUCCCUAACGCAAAUGGGAAAUCCUCGGCAGCACACCCACCGAUGCCCAAGGCGAAGGCCCAUUCCACACCGUCGGAAAGCGUUGGGCGAGUUGUGCCGGGCAACGCUGCCCUUUAUGCCGUAGGCGACCAUUCACCGCCAUCACGGGUGCCAGAAGAAACAACCAGACCUGAGAAAAGGAAAGUGACCACUGGCUCUGAAAGGGGGCAGGCCAUUCACGGAAG
rnacentral:lncRNA from 1 species